rnacentral:lncRNA from 1 species
GUCAGCCGUCUGCUGUGAGGGAGUCUGGACGCACCCAUGAACUCGUGACACGUGAUCUCUGUGGCCUGGGAUGCCCUCAGUGUACAUGUGAAAACUGUACAAUUAUGGAAGCAAUUGAAGAGCUGCUGCCAAGAAAAGGAUGUCAUGGAGGAACUCAAUGAAUAUGAGGGACAUGGUGCAAACACAACCUGCAUAACAGAUCACCCAGGAUUCAAGUCAAAGUGUCUGGAUGUUUGCGUGUUGCAGACAGCCUACCAAAGGUAUUCGAAGAGGGACAGACAACAAGCAGGUGAUCAGCCACGUAAUGAAAUGUAUCACUAUGUGGCAUACCGCCAGCUGGUGAGAUUUUGUUGGGGAAUACUUGGUAAGAACCACAGACUGCCAUCAUGUGCCAUUCAAAAGAUCUGUGCUACGUUUCCAUCUGACAACUACACGUCGUUCAAGUAUCAGCCUUUUAUUAGAGUAAAUAACAAAACACAAUGUCAGUUCAGUGAUUGAAUCUGCUUCUAUACAGCACAACAGCAUCCCUCUUCUUUGGUUCUUGGUGGAUCUGGGACUUCGAAAAGUUCCUCAUCAACAUUGUCUUGGCACAAAGCAUUGAGUCUCGGUCAAGAGUUCAGUAACAUACUCUGCAAAAAAGAUGUUUUAUAAUCAAGCAUUAUAUAUAAUAUAUAUAUAUAUAUUAUGAUGCUGACCUUUAGAACAACCAACCUGGAUUGGAACUUGCAGUCCAGCUGACCUGACACGUGGUCGCGCCUGCAUGGACUUGUGGUGUGUCCGUGGAGGGGGAUCCGUCUGCACAGCAAUUUCUUUCUGACAUGUCUGAAAUGUACAAAACACAAGCUUUACUAAUAAAUCUUU